UUGAUAGAAGCCAAAAAGAGGCUUUUCACUGUUAAUGAUAAAAUUGAAAUUAUUUUCCUAUCAAU
rnacentral:tRNA from 1 species